AUUGAACGCUGGCGGCAGGCCUAACACAUGCAAGUCGAGCGGAUGAAGGGAGCUUGCUCCUGGAUUCAGCGGCGGACGGGUGAGUAAUGCCUAGGAAUCUGCCUGGUAGUAGGGGAUAACGUCCGGAAACGGGCGCUAAUACCGCAUACGUCCUGAGGGAGAAAGUGGGGGAUCUUCGGACCUCACGCUAUCAGAUGAGCCUAGGUCGGAUUAGCUAGUUGGUGGGGUAAAGGCCUACCAAGGCGACGAUCCGUAACUGGUCUGAGAGGAUGAUCAGUCACACUGGAACUGAGACACGGUCCAGACUUCUACGGGAGGCAGCAGUGGGGAAUAUUGGACAAUGGGCGAAAGCCUGAUCCAGCCAUGCCGCGUGUGUGAAGAAGGUCUUCGGAUUGUAAAGCACUUUAAGUUGGGAGGAAGGGCAGUAAGUUAAUACCUUGCUGUUUUGACGUUACCAACAGAAUAAGCACCGGCUAACUUCGUG
rnacentral:rRNA from 1 species